rnacentral:pre_miRNA from 1 species
UAACUACUCCCUCCGUCCGAAAAUACUUGUCAUCAAAAUGGACAAAAAGGGAUGUAUCUAGAACUAAAAUACAUCUAGAUACAUCCUCUUUUAUUCAUUUUGAUGACAAGUAUUUCUGGACGGAGGGAGUACAUG